CUCGUCGCUUGUCGCUGUGUUGUCCACAGCAGCGUCGCUCAUCUCCGUCAUCGUCCACCGCAACAUUGCUCGUCGCUCAUCACCGUCGUCCUCGUCAGCAGCGUCGCCAUCGUCUCCCACAGCUACGUACGUCACCAACAGUAUCUAAAGAAUCUUGGAGAUUCCUAGAUUCAACAAGGUGUUCAGCAAAGAUCAUAAGCUUAUGAGAGUGAGAGAGCUGGUACUUCAUCAUUACCCUCAUCAGAAUUGGAUUAAACUUGAUACUGAUUUUUU